UUUUUCUCUUCUUGUACUUGUUAUACCCUGUCUAAGGUUUAGACCAUAAUAAUUCUUAGGGAGUGCCUUAACCUGUACUGAAAGGUACACUGAAAAAUCUAUGGUUCUUCACAUACAUUUUGUAAGUGCAUCCCAUUUUGGCAUGUACAGCAUUAUUUCUAUACUUGUCGUCUCCUGGCUGCAUCUUACCUAUUGUGAAGUCUGAAAGUGACCAGAAGCAAUGAGAUGUGCAAUUUAGGUACAAUAUUUUGCAAGUUCAUGGUUCAAUGAAGUUAUUUUUUCAUACUAUUUUUAAUAUACAGCCCAGUCUGACUUAUAAUUGUUUUUAAAGCCUGAUUUUCUUCCCCAAAAAUAUUUUUGUAGUCUUGCCAAGAAAAAAAAAAGAUUGAAAGGUUGCAACACAGAAAGUAUCUGAUUCUUCUUUCUGCGUAUACUUAGGAAAUGCCAAACCUGGUCCUGCAAAAGAAGUUGUUAAGAAUAGCCCUGGUGGUUGUAAACCUCUGGCAUGGACUGAUCAAAGUAAUGAGCCUCAGUCUGUAAAAAUCAGGAGGGAUGAUUCUGUUCCCAUCAGCAGGAAAAUAUUAUGGAAGCCUGGCAGCAUCUCAGGAAGCCUCUGCAGAAAGAUUUCUGAGUUUCCCACCCAGC
rnacentral:lncRNA from 1 species